rnacentral:misc_RNA from 1 species
AAAUUUAUUUAUAAUAUCUUUCUCGGAUAUGAUAUAUACUGAAUAUACAUGUAUAUAGAGAAAAGAUAUUUCUCAUACAAAAAUACAGAUCAUUUUCCAUUCAGACUUAGAUAUUCAUGUAUGGUUCAAUUGUGUAUAUCUGUUUACGAAUUUGGAGUCAGUAAUCUCUUAAUUCAAAUAUAAUUUGAUACGUACACCUCUUUGUACAGUUCUUCUAUUCUGUUGGCAAACAAAAAUAAACUUGUACAAGGUUAAAUUAGAAUUUCUUACUGUAAAAGAACAUUGUUGAUCAAUGUUAUUAAUACAAACCAAUAUAGAUACAAUUCGAACUGAUAGAAAAUUCAGACUGUUAUUAUGUUUUGUUAUUAAAUCUAAAUAAAAUGUUAACAUGUU